rnacentral:rRNA from 1 species
AACGGAGCACCCUUGACGGAGUUUUCGGACAACUGAUAGGAAUGCUUAGUGGCGGACUGGUGAGUAACGCGUGAGGAACCUGCCUUUCAGAGGGGGACAACAGUUGGAAACGACUGCUAAUACCGCAUGAUACAUUUGGGCGGCAUCGCUUGAAUGUCAAAGAUUUUAUCGCUGAAAGAUGGCCUCGCGUCUGAUUAGCUAGUUGGCGGGGUAACGGCCCACCAAGGCGACGAUCAGUAGCCGGACUGAGAGGUUGACCGGCCACAUUGGGACUGAGAUACGGCCCAGACUCCUACGGGAGGCAGCAGUGGGGAAUAUUGGGCAAUGGACGCAAGUCUGACCCAGCAACGCCGCGUGAAGGAAGAAGGCUUUCGGGUUGUAAACUUCUUUUAAGAGGGAACAGAAGAAGAGGGUACCUCUUGAAUAAGCCACGGCUAACUAUGUGCCAGCAGCCGCGGUAAUACGUAGGUGGCAAGCGUUGUCCGGAUUUA